CUCUGAUCCGAUUGCUUGGCUGUCUGGCCUCUGAGUUUUCCCCUGAAGAAUCAGUCAGUUUCAAAUGGACAGAUCAGAGUGGAAAAGCUCUCACUGACUUUGUCCAGUAUCCUACAGUAACAACUAAUGGAAAAAUGCUGAAAAUCAGUCACAUCACUGUUACCACUGAGAUUCUGAAAACAAGUAUAACAUGUGAAGGAGUGCACCCUCUGAAAACAGACAAAAAGACAUUCAGAAAAGUUUCAGCACAAGGACCAACUGUGAGCGUGAUUCCUGUCACAACUCAAAAAAGUACAUCUGUCCUGUGUGUUAUUGAGGACUUCUACCCAAAAACCGUCACUGUACAAUGGAAACAAAAUAAUGACACAAUGCAGCAACAGACAGAAAUGGAAUACAAAAAAAAUGAAGACACAGGUCUUUACACAGCACUGAGUCUUUAUAAAGUCAACAGUGAGACAUGGAACAAACAUAUUGACUAUACCUGUGAGGUCACACACAUGGGCCAAGUUCAAUCUGAUAAGAAAAACUUCAAAGCUACACUGGGACUGACUCUGAAGACACCAAUACAGAAAGAAUUAUUUGUCAACAAUAAAGUAAUCUUGCAGGCUGUUAUUUCUGGAAAUGAACGCAACUCAGUGGAAAGCGCUGUAGUGUCAUGCAAAAUGGAGAGUGAAGCAAUAGCAUUACAAAAAGGUGUUGUAGAAUCGCUUAAGGACAUUUCAGAUUUUCAGAAAAUUCACAAUGUAACGGUUGAUACAAAGAAGUGGUUUGAAGGUAAAAAGGUCACCUUUACCAUCAGUGACAAAAGCAUCACGCAGGAGAUCAAUUUUAAUAAAGGAGAUGGAAGGACACCACAAGUUUCCCUUUAUGAAGAAGAAAUUGACAGCACAGACCCUACACAUAUUUCUCUGGUGUGUGAGGUCACCAGUCCUAAACUUGGUGAUGUUUACAUCAUGUGGAAAGUAGAUAAUGGAGAAUAUAAAGAGGGUUAUACCAGUGCUCCAAUCCGUCAAGAGGACUCCACAUCUGUCGUCAGCAUUUAUAAAGUAUCUAAAGAAGAGUUUAGAAAAAACACAAUCUCCUGUGCAGUCAAACAUGCCAACAUGGACGAAGACAAGAUGCCAAUAAUAAAAUCAACAUUACAAAGUAAAUCAAAAUGUCCUGCAUGUCCUGUCUGCUCUGCUGAUUAUUCAUGAUAUUAUCAAUAUGAUUACAUGUUAUGUUCUCACUUUGUCUGACAUGCUUUUGUCCUGUUGUUAUCUUUGCUAUAUCGUUGUGUGCUUUUCUCCAGAUGUUUGUAUCACUGUAUUGCAUGGGUCAAAAACCAAUGCUGAAUUACAAUCAGAACUAUUAAUUGAAACUAUUAUUGCACAUCAGGUGGAACAGCAUUAAGUGCAAGACAAAUAUCUAUUUAGAACACAAGAGCCAAAAUUUCUGAUGACCUACUGUAAGUCAAUGUGUGAUACUUGUCUUCAAUUUGUUAAAUUGUGUCAAGACAUGUUAAAUGUGUUAAUUGUGUCCCUGCUUCUUUUCAUGCUGUCUGUUGUCG